rnacentral:rRNA from 1 species
AGCAGUCGCCGCGGUAAUACGAAGGGUGCAAGCGUUAAUCGGAAUUACUGGGCGUAAAGCGUGCGUAGGCGGUUUGUUAAGUCUGCUGUGAAAUCCCCGGGCUCAACCUGGGAAUGGCAGUGGAUACUGGCAAGCUAGAGUGUGUCAGAGGAUGGUGGAAUUCCCGGUGUAGCGGUGAAAUGCGUAGAGAUCGGGAGGAACAUCAGUGGCGAAGGCGGCCAUCUGGGACAACACUGACGCUGAGGCACGAAAGCGUGGGGAGCAAACAGGAUUAGAGACCCCUGUAGUCCCUGUCUCUUAUAC